rnacentral:lncRNA from 1 species
AAAAAAAAAUCCUACGCACACGCAAGAUCAUGGUAAUGUAUAGCAACGAGAGGGAAGAGUGUUGUCCACGUACCCUCGUAGACCGUAAGCGGAAGCGUUAUGACAACGUGGUUGAUGUAAUCAUAUGUCUUCACGAUCGACCGAUCCUAGCACCGAAGGUACGGCACCUCCGCGAUCUGCACACGUUCGGCUCGGUGAUGUCCAACGAACUCACGAUCCAGUAGAUCUUCGAGGGAGAGCUUCGUCAGCACGACGGCGUGAUGACGGUGAUGAUGAUGCUACCGGAACAGGGCUUCGCCUAAGCACCAUUACGAUAUGACCGAGGUGGAUUAUGGUGGAGGGGGCACCGCACACGGCUGGAAACAAUCAACUUGUGUGUUCUAGGGUGACCCCCUACCCCCAUAUAUAAAGGAGCAAGGGGGGGGGCGGCCGGCCUAGGGGAGCGCCAAGGAGAGGGGGAGUCCUCCUCCUAGUAGGAGGAGGACUCCCCUUUUCCUAUUCCAACUAGGAAGGGGGAAGGGGAAAGGAAGGAGAGGAAGAGAGGGAGGAAAGAGGGGGCGCCGCCCCCCCCCCCUCCUUGUCCAAUUCGGACUCCAAAUGGGGGGGGCGCGGCCAGCCCUAGGCCCUCUCCUCUCUGUCCCACAAGGCCCAUGUUGGCCCAUUAGUUCCCCCGGGGGUUUCGAUAACCCCCCAGCACUCCGAUAAAUAUCCGGUGACCCUCGAAACUCAUCCGGUGUCUGAAUAUAGUCGUUCAAUAUAUCAAUCUUUAUGUCUCGACCAUUUCGAGACUCCUCAUCAUGUCUGUGAUCACAUCCGGGACUCCGAACUAUCUUCGAUACAUCAAAACACAUAAACUCAUAAUAUCGAUCGCCACCGAACGUUAAGCGUGCGGACCCUACGGGUUCGAGAACUAUGUAGACAUGAUCGAGACAUGUCUCCGGUCAAUAACCAAUAGCGAAACCUGGAUGCUCAUAUUGGCUCCUACAUAUUCUACGAAGAUCUUUAUCGGUCAAACCGCAUAACAACAUACGUUGUUCCCUUUGUCAUCGGUAUGUUACUUACCCGAGAUUCGAUCGUCGGUAUCUCAAUACCUAGUUUAAUAUCGUUACCGGCAAGUCUCUUUACUCGUUCCAUAAUGCAUCAUCCCGCAACUAACUCAUUAGUCACAUUUCUUGCAAGGCUUAUAGAGAUGUGCAUUGCCGAGAGGGCCCGGAGAUACCUCUCCGACAAUCGGAGUGACAAAUCCUAAUCUAGAUCUAUGGCAACUCAACAAACACCAUUGGAGACACCUGUAGAGCACCUUUAUAAUCACCCAGUUAUGUUGUGACGUUUGGUAGUAGACAAAGUGUUCCUCCGCUAUUCGGGAGUUGCAUGAUCUCAUAGUCAUAGGAACAUGUAUAAGUUAUGGAGAAAGUAAUAGCAACAAACUAAACGAUCAUCGUGCUAAGCUAACGGAUGGGUCAAGUCAAUCACAUCAUUCUCUAAUGAUGUGACCCCGUUAAUCAAAUGGCAACUCAUGUCUAUGGUUGAGAAACAUAACCAUCAUUGAUUCAACGAGCUAGUCAAUUAGAGGCAAACUAGUGACACUCUGUUUGUCUAUGUAUUCACACAUGUACUAAGUUUCCGGUUAAUACAAUUCUAGCAUGAAUAAUAAACAUUUAUCAUGAUAUAAGGAAAUAUAAAUAACAACUUAAUUGUUGCCUCCAGGGCAUAUUUCCUUCAACCCCCCCCCCCCUCAUGUCAGCAAGAAGGGAAUCNNNNNNNNNNNNNNNNNNNNNNNNNNNNNNNNNNNNNNNNNNNNNNNNNNNNNNNNNNNNNNNNNNNNNNNNNNNNNNNNNNNNNNNNNNNNNNNNNNNNNNNNNNNNNNNNNNNNNNNNNNNNNNNNNNNNNNNNNNNNNNNNNNNNNNNNNNNNNNNNNNNNNNNNNNNNNNNNNNNNNNNNNNNNNNNNNNNNNNNNNNNNNNNNNNNNNNNNNNNNNNNNNNNNNNNNNNNNNNNNNNNNNNNNNNNNNNNNNNNNNNNNNNNNNNNNNNNNNNNNNNNNNNNNNNNNNNNNNNNNNNNNNNNNNNNNNNNNNNNNNNNNNNNNNNNNNNNNNNNNNNNNNNNNNNNNNNNNNNNNNNCUAGCAAAGUGCAAAGUAGCUAGCAGCCCCCACCCCCUCGUGUCGCCACGAAGGGAAUCCUAAUUAAGCUAUGAAUGCAUGCCCCCCAACCGAGGUUCACCUAGCAAAGUGUGAUGUAGCAACCCCCCCAGACACACACACUUUCAGUCGGCGGGCCAGAGAGGCAUAUAUCUCACCAAGAUGGAUCGUAAAACGGACCAAGAAUAAUCCACCUUGGUCGUACGACCUCUCCCUUGUUGUUGGUCAAAGUGAUGGCCGUCCAUGCAACCCCGGAGAUGGGCUAGCUCGCCAAUAAUCAUGCAAGUAGCUAGUCCGCGAAGACAACCACUGCAUGCGUGUGGCCCAAACAUAUGUAUGGAGAGGUGUGUUUUUGAGUAACAAUGGAACAACUUUGAUGUGGCACCGUGAUUUCGAACUAGAAAUCCCCACACUGAGUGAGGGUUAGGUUGACGAUGCUUAUUUAUGUUACACCACACUUCAAGCCAACGACAGGGAUUCAUAUAUGCAUGCAUGCGUGCAUAGUAUAUGCGCUCAAACUUAAUUAGGUAUGAAUCUCACCAUGACCUAUACUAUGAUAACAUGAACCAAAUGAGGAAUCCUCCAUGGUAACCUAUCUUGUUGUUGGUCAAGGUGAUCAUGGAUGUCCACGCGGGCCCACAAAUAUAUAGGCUUGUCCCCGAUAACCACGCGAGCGAGUGUAUCAUUCGAAGGCAACCACUACAUGCAUAUGUAUGGAGGUGAUGCGUGCAUGCAUGUUUGAAUACACAACAUUGAUCUGGCGCGUGUGUCAAAAAUCAUACACUAGCUCCCCACACAGAGCGAGAUCGGUUCAGGAUGGUGUCGUUAUACUAGCCACUUCAACUCGAUGGGAGGGAUUCAUGCGUACACAUGCAUGUGUGUGUGCUCAAAGUGUAUCAUGCAUGUCAUCCCAGAGCAAAAAUAAUAAUCCCCUCCUAAGUCAAAUUAACCUCUCUUGUUGUCAGGAAAAAAGAAGUGAUGGACCAAGCGGGCCCAUAGAUGGAAAGCAUCGAUAUCAUUGAUAACCACUUAAGUGGGUGCGAGAGGACAACCACCACCGCUUUGCAUGUGGGCCAAACAUAUAUAUGUUGAAUACCCAAAAUGCACAACUUCGAUGUGCCACAUGCCUCAAAACGGUAAACCAUGCACCCACACAGAGCGAGGUUCAUAUCAAGCGUACUACAUAUGAUGGUCCCCUUCCCCCCUCUUCACCGCAUACUAUAUGCUCCUGCCGUAAUAUAUGUACAACCCAAAAGAUCCUCAUCGAUGGUGAAAUUAAUUAACCUCUCCCGAUGUAGGUCAAAGUGAUGCAUGCAUGCAUGCAUGCAUCGAUGAUGGCCUCCUGGGCCCACAGAUGGAAGCGUCACACGUGAGUGUCCUAGCUAGGAUAUAUAUGCAUGUGGCCCAAAAAGGUGUUGUGUGAUAUUUGAAUAACCAAUUUCACAAUUUUGAUGUGGCACGUGCCUCGGUAACCAAAAAGUCCCGACACUGAGUGAGGUGUACUUGUUCACGGAUGCAUACAUAUAGUAUAUACGCUAGUCCCCUUCCACCUCUUCGACGCGUACUAUAUACCACCAUAACACAAACAAAAAAGAUUCUACCUUGCUAGUCAAAUUAACCUCACUACCGGUUGUUCAUCAAAGUGAUGGGCAACGACCUCGCGGGCCCACAAAAAGCAUCACACGCAAGUAUCAAGUGUCGUGUAGGACAACCAUCAACUAUAUGUGGCAAAACAUUUAUGUAUGAAUGGGUUGUGUAAUGUUUUAAAUAACGAUUUCACGACUUUGAUGUGGCACCAGCCUGCCUAACAAAACGGCCAACCCACACGGUGGCUGAUAACCGACAAGUAUAGGGGAUCGCAACAGUUUUUGAUAAGUAAGAGUGUCGAACCCAAUGAGGAGCUAAAGGCAAAACAAAUAUUCCCUCAAGUUCUAUCGACCACCGAUACAACUCUACACACGCUUGAUGCUCGCUUUACCUAGAACACGUAUGAAACUAGAAGUACUUUGUAGGUGUUGUUGGAUAGGUUUGCAAGAUAAUAAAGAGCAUGUAAAUAAAAAGUAGGGUCUGUUUAGAUAAAGACACAACUAACUUAGUUUUCAUAAAGAGCUUUUUGUUAUGAGAAAUUUAUUUUCCCUAGGCAAUCGAUAACUAGACUGGUAAUCAUUGUUGCAAUUUUAUUUGAGGUAGAGGCAUAAGCUAACAUACUUUCUCUACUUGGAUCAUAUGCACUUAUGAUUGGAACUCUAGCAAGCAUCCGCAACUACUAAAGAUCAUUAAGGUAAAACCCAACCAUAGCAUUAAAGUAUCAAGUCCUCUUUAUCCCAUACGCAACAAUCCCCUUACUCGGGUUUGUGUUUCAGUCACUCACGCAACCCACUAUAAGAAAAUCAUGAACGUAUUGCAACACCCUACAGCAGGGAUCCCUCACGCUUGCGCGACACGGAGAGCACCAUAGGACAGCACCAAUAAUAAAACAUGCAACUCGAACCAAUCAUGAUCAUCAAAUAACCCAUAGGACAAAACAGAUAUACUCAAACAUCAUUGGGAAAUAAUAUAUAGCAUUGAGCACCAUGUUUAAGUAGAGAUUACAGCAGGUAAAAGAGGGGUUACACCGUUGCAUAGAGGGGGGAAGAGUUGGUGAUGAUGGCGGUGAAGUUGUUGGUGAAGAUUGCGGUGAUGAUGAUGGCCCCCAGUGGCACUCCGGUGCCACCGGAAGCGAGGGGGAGAGGGCCCCCCUCCUUCUUCUUCCUUGACCUCCUACCUAGAUGGGAGAAGGGUUUCCCCUCUGGUCCUUGGUCUCCAUGGUGUGGGAGGGGCGAGAGCACCUCCGAGAUUGGAUCUGUCUCUCUGUCUCUCUCUGUUUCUACGUUCUCAGAUUCUACCCUUUCACUGUUUCUUAUAUUCCCGGAGAUCUAUAACUCCGACUGGGCUGAAAUUUUAACACGAUCUCUAUCCGGAUAUUAGCUUUAUUGCGGAGAAAGAAGGUCAUCAACCGCCUUACAGGGUGGCCACGAGGGUCAGGGGCGCGCCCCCCUGCCUCGUGCCUCCCUCGGGCACCGUCUCGCGUGGAUUUUUCUUCCCAAAAAUCAUAUAUAUUCCAAAAAAAUCUCAGUCGGUUUUUAUCCCGUUUGGACUCCGUUUGAUAUGGAUAUUCUGCGAAACAAAAACAUGCAACAAACAAGAACUAGCACUGGGCAUGGAUCAAUAUGUUAGUCCCAAAAAUAGUAAAAAAGUUGCCAAAAGUAUAUGAAAGUUGUAGAAUAUUGGCAUGGAACAAUCAAAAAUUAUAGAUAUGACGGAGACGUAUCAGCAUCCCCAAGCUUAAUUCCUGCUCGUCCUCGAGUAGGUAAAUGAUAAAAAAGAUAAUUUUUGAUGUGGAAUGCUACCUAGCAUAAUCUUGAUCACAUAUCUAAUCAUGGCAUGAAUAUUAAGACACGAGUGAUUCAAGGCAAUAGUCUAUCAUUUGACAUUAAGACAAUAAUACUUCAAGCAUACUAAUAAAGCAAUCAUGUCUUUUCAAAAUAAUAUGGCCAAAGAAAGUUAUCCCUACAAAAUCAUAUGGUCUGGCUAUGCUCCAUCUUCACCACACAAAAUAUUCAAAUCAUGCACAACCCCGAUGACAAGCCAAGCAAUUGUUUCAUACUUUUGAUGUUCUCAAACCUUUUCAACUUUCACUCAAUACAUGAGCGUGAGCCAUGGACAUAGCACUAUAGGUGGAAUAGAAUGGUGGUUGUGGAGAAGACAAAAAGGAGAAGAUAGUCUCACAUCAACUACGUGUAUCAACGGGCUAUGGAGAUGCCCAUCAAUAGAUAUCAAUGUGAGUGAGUAGGGAUUGCCAUGCAACAGAUGCACUAGAGCUAUAAGUGUAUGAAAGCUCAAACUGAAACUAAGUGGGUGUGCAUCCAACUUGCUUGCUCAUGAAGACCUCGGGCAUUUGAGGAAGCCCAUCAUCGGAAUAUACAAGCCAAGUUCUAUAAUGAAAAUUCCCACUAGUAUAUGAAAGUGAUAACUCAAGAGACUCUCUAUAUGAAGAACAUGGUGCUACUUUGAAGCACAAGUGUGCUAAAAGGAUAGUAACAUUGCCCCUUCUCUCUUUUUCUCUCAUUUUUUAUUUUUUUAUUUUUUUGGUGGGCUUCUGAUAGAGGCAAAGGUGUCCCGAUGUUUCGAUGAGAUGGUGGUUAUCGUUUUUGGGGGAGUCGACCUUGACGAUCCGACUACAAACGUGCGAGACGUUGCGCCUUAGCAAUCGCUAAACCAACUUUCGAGGGGUUAUUGACCACGCCGGAGCAUGAUCAACCUGACCACGAGGGUCUGUUUCCUGCAAGCAAACGAAGAACAAGCAAGAAACUGAGAUUGCAAUUUGGAUAUUGCGAAUAUAAGAUGAAAGCUUUAUUGAUCAAGGUGGGGUUCUGUGAUGUCUUGGUCUGGUCGUUGGACACAAACAAAGUACGAGAAGUUGCAGCUAUGGCGAACUUUUAAUCUAAACAAAACCCAAAGCCUAAACGAUGCCCUAAGGGCUGUAUAUAUGGAGGAGAGAGGGGGAAUUUCGUGGCCCUUGGUGGAGGGGUCCGAAACCAACCCUAACUCUUGUUUCCCCACACAUACGGACUCUAAAAACAGCAUAUACUUAAGUACUUCGAAAAUACAUGGGCCUGGCCCAAUAAUAAGGUGACGCGGCACCUAGAAUAGCCUAUGGACGAAUAUUAUGAAGUGGCAUCUUGUAUAUUUCAUCCAAGGCUUCAUGCACUCCUUAUGGCGGCUUCAAAGUCCUGAAAUCAUCACUUGUAACUCCGUUCUUGAUCCCCUUGCGCAUGCCAUCAACUCCAUGCGUGUUCUUGCUCCAAUGUUCAUCCCUCUCCAAGCUAGGCCCUUCAUUUGUAAGCAAAACAAAUGUAUCCAAUUUAGGCAGCAUCAUAAUCUCAUGAACAUUAGAAUCAUUACCAAGAAACGAAAGUACCUGGUAAUUUAAUUGGCGUGCGCGAGCUCUAGUAAUUGGUCCAGUAUAUGUAACAAUAGGGGCUGUGGGUGUAACAAUGGUAUUGAUGUCCUCAUCAUCCUCCCCUUCUUGGAAUGAAGUCGUCCUCGACGGAAGCUCAUUCCUCACCCAAAUAAGGCUUCAAAUCUGCAAUGUUAAAAGUGGGACUAACCCCAAAAUCUGCAGGUAGCUCAAGUUUAUAUGCAUUAUCAUUUAUUUUCUCUAACACCUUAAAAGGACCAUCGGCAUGUGGCAUUAGCUUUGAUUUGCGCAAAUUAGGAAAUCUAUCUUUACGCAAAUGUAACCAAACAAGAUCUCCAGGUGCAAACACAACAUGUUUUCUACCCUUAUCUCCAGCAAGUUUAUAUUUAGCAUUCAUACGCUCAAUGUUUUCCUUAGUUAACUCAUCCAUUUUUAAAAUCAAUUCAGAACGUUCUUUAGCAUCAAAAUUAAUCUUCUCCGAAGAUGGAAGAGGCAACAAAUCAAUAGGUGCAUGAGGUAGGAAACCAUACACAAUUUCAAAAGGGCACAUCUUAGUAGUAGAACGCAAUGAACGAUUAUAAGCAAAUUCAAUAUGAGGCAAGCAUUCUUCCCACAUUUUCUUAUUAUUCUUCAAAACAGCCCUAAGCAGAGUAGACAAUGUUCUAUUGACUACUUCAGUUUAUCCAUCAGUUUGGGGGUGACAAGUAGUACUAAAAAGCAGUUUAGUCCCCAACUUAGCCCAUAAACAUCUCCAAAAGUGGCUAAGAAAUUUAGUAUCACGAUCUGAAACAAUAGUAUUAGGCACACCAUGCAAGCGAAUAAUUUCACGAAAGAACAAAUCAGCAACAUUAACAGCAUCAUCGCUUUUAUGACAUGGUAUAAAGUGUGCCAUUUUCGAGAAUCUAUCCACGACAACAAAUAUGCUAUCCCUCCCCUUCUUUGUUCGAGGUAAACCUAAAACAAAGUCCAUAGAUAUAUCCUCCCAAGGAACACUAGGUACAGGCAAAGGCAUAUAUAAACCAUGAGGAUUGAGUCAUGACUUAGCUUUUUGACAUGUAGUGCAGCGAGCAACAAAACGCUCAACAUCCCGUCUCAUCUUUGGCCAAAAGAAAUGUGUAGCAAGUACGUCCUCCGUAUUCUUCACGCCAAAGUGUCCCAUUAGUCCUCCUCCAUGCGCCUCCUGCAACAACAAAAGACGAACAGAGCUAGCUGGAAUGCAUAGCUUGUUAGCACGAAACACAAAUCCAUCAUUAAGAACGAACUUGUUCCAAGUUCUCCCUUCCUUACAAUUCUGCAAUACAUCUUUAAAUUCAGCAUCAUGAACAUAUUGAUCUUUGAUGGUCUCCAAACCAAAUAUUUUAAAGUCAAGUUGUGAAAGCAUAGUAUAACAACGAGACAAGGCAUCAGCAAUAACAUUUUCUUUACCCUUCUUGUGUUUAAUGACAUAAGGGAAAGUCUCAAUGAAUUCAACCCAUUUAGCAUGUCUACGGUUCAGUUUUGCUUGACUUUUAAUGUGUUUCAAAGAUUCAUGAUCAGAAUGUAUAACAAAUUCCUUAGGCCAUAAAUAAUGUUGCCAUGUUUCUAAGGUCCGAACAAGAGCAUAUAAUUCUUUAUCAUAAGUAGAAUAGUUCAGACUAGGCCCACUCAAUUUUUCAGAAAAGUAUGCAACAGGUUUUCCAUCUUGUAAUAACACACCUCCUAAUCCAAUUCCACUAGCAUCACAUUCAAGCUCAAAAGUCUUAUUGAAAUUAGGAAGUUGGAGUAAAGGAGCAUGUGUCAACUUAUCUUUCAAUACCGUGAAGGCUUCUUCCUGUGCGGUACCCCAAACAAAAGGCACAUCCUUCUUUGUAAGCUCGUUGAGAGGUGCAGCAAUGGUGCUGAAAUCUCUCACAAAACGCCUAUAGAAACCAGCGAGGCCAAGGAAACUCCUCACUUGUGUGACCGUUUUGGGCUGCGGCCAACUCUCAAUAGCUUCAAUCUUGGCUUUAUCAACUUCAAUUCCCUGUGGAGUAACAACAUAGCCAAGAAAAGAUACUCGGUUGGUGCAAAAGGUGCACUUUCCAAGGUUACCAAACAAACGUGCAUCACGUAGAGCAAUAAAAACAGCACGUAAAUGUUCCAAAUGUUCCUCCAAAGAUUUGCUAUAAAUCAAUAUGUCAUCAAAGUAAACUACCACAAAUCGUCCAAUGAAAGCACGUAAAACUUCGUUCAUUAACCUCAUGAAAGUACUAGGUGCAUUAGUUAACCCAAAAGGCAUGACUAACCACUCAUAUAAUCCAAACUUAGUUCUAAAUGCUGUUUUCCAUUCAUCUCCCAAUUUCAUACGAAUUUGAUGGUAUCCACUACGCAAAUCAACUUUGGAGAAUAUUGUAGAGCCACUCAAUUCAUCAAGCAUAUCAUCUAGCCUAGGAAUAGGAUGACGAUAACGAAUAGUAAUAUUAUUAAUGCCUCUACAAUCAACGCGCAUACGCGACGUACCAUCCUUUUUCGGCACUAAAAUGAUUGGAACGGCACAAGGACUAAGGGAUUCGCGUAUAUAACCUUUGUCGAGCAGUUCUUGUACUUGACGCAUAAUCUCCUUCGUCUCCUCUGGAUUGGUACGGUAUGGUGCACGGUUGGGUAAUGAUGCAUCGGGAAUUAAGUCAAUUUGAUGCUCAAUCCCUCAAAUAGGUGGUAAUCCCGGUGGCACAUCUUGUGGAAAGACGUCAGCGAACUCCUGCAAAAUGUUAGUGACAGCAGGAGGCAAAGAGGAAGGCAUGUCCUCGAAUGAAAAUAAUGCCUCUUUGCACACAAAAGCAUAGCAAACAGAUUUGCAAAAAUCUAGAUCAUCAAUAUCAGAUUUGGUGGCAAGUAAACAUGCACUUUUCAAUUUAAUUUCAGAAGCAACACUAGAUUGUUUAUUAUUAUUAGGCUGCAUUUGUUGCUCAAAUUCUUUUGCCACAAUCUGAUUUUCACUCUUAUUUUUCUCCUGUUUUGCUUUAUUAGCUCUAUUAAUAUCAUCUUUCAAAAUAGAAUCAGGAGUCAUAGGAAGCAAAGUAAUAUUUUUAUCCUUAUGAACAAGAGUACACUGAUUGUUUCUACCAUGGUGAACAGAAUUUUUAUCAAAUUGCCAUGGUCUACCAAGUAAUAAGGAACAUGCUUGCAUAGGUACCACAUCACAAUCAACAUAAUCAGCAUAUGUAGAGAUACUAAAAUGCACACGAACAGUACGUGUUACCUUAACCUUGCCGCUGUUGUUGAACCAUUGGAUGUAGUAAGGAUGUGGAUGUGGUCUUGUGGUGAGAGAUAGCUUCUCCACCAUCUCCAUGCUAGCCAAGUUAUUUCAGCUCCCUCCAUCUAUGAUGACGCAAAUAGAACGUUCCUUCACAACUCCCUUUGUAUGGAACAAAUUAUGCCUCUGAUUUUUCUCAGCUUGUGUAACCUGCACACUCAAAACACGUUGAGCAACUAAACAUUCAUACCUAUCAGCAUCUUCAGCAGCCAUGUAUUGCGUCUCAUGAUCAGAAUCAUCUCCACCGUGUUCUUCACGUGUAAUAAGAGCCAAAGUCUCCUCAUCAUAGUCACUAGCGGACUCAUACCCACCAUCCUCAGUAGCAAUCAUCACACGCUGAGAUUGGCAUUCUCUCGCAAAAUGUCCUCUUCCCUUACAACGACGACAAAUAAUGUCACUUGUGUGCCCUGUUGAUGCCAUGGAAGAAGAAGAGCUCUGCGCAGGUCCAGCAGGUGUGCUCUUGGCAGAUAGUGGUGGUUGUGCCUGCUUUCUUGUAUCACGGCUGGAGGUGGCAGCCGACAGAGGCGCCGGUGUAGCAGAACGUGUGGAAGUAGAUGAUGCACGUGGUGUCCAUGAUGAAGGUCGACCUGCAGAAAAGUUAGUCCGCGCCAAUGCUUGUCGAUCCUGCACUUCACGUUCAUCUUUACAAGCAAGAUGGAAUAAAUGAGUGAUAUUAGUAUACUCCUUAUACUCUAGAAUCGUCUGAAUCUCUCUAUUUAAUCCACCCAUAAAACGUGCAAGCAUAGCUUCAUUCUCCUCAACAAUACCACAUCUAAUCAUGUCAGUUUGUAAUUCCUAAUAAUAUUCUUCUACAGAAUUUCUUCCCUGUCUUAAGCGCUGCAAUUUUUGAAGUAAUUCACGUUGAUAAUAUGGUGGAACCCAACGAGUACGCAUAGCAGUUUUCAAAGCAGCCCAAGUAGCAGGAAUAGGAUAUAAUCUACAAUGCUCAGACCACCAAACACAUGCAAAACUAGUGAAUGCACAAACAGCAGCAGGAACACGUCUCUCCUCGGGAUAUUGUAAACAUGUAAAUCGUUGUUCAGUUUCUAACUCCCAAAUAAGAUAUAUAUCAGGAACAUAUCUACCCUCAAAUGGUGGAAUAUUCAAUUUUAGUUUAGGGAGAUGGUCAUGAUCUCGUACCUAAGGGUGAGCCCUACCAUUGCCAUUAUUUGCAUGUGGACGACCUGGUGGUUGUUGUGCUGGUGGUGGCACGUAGUUCUGAUUUUGAUCAACCUCAUCCUCGUAAUCGCCGGCAAAAUCAUCCUCCUCCGCAUCAGCAGCAGGAGCCACAGAAGUAUCAACAGCAGCACCAACAGUUUGGCCAGGUGCAAGAGGGAGACGGCUCGCUCGGCGGAGGGUUGUUUCACGAUGUGUAGGUAGUCGUUGUUGUUGUUGUUGUAGAGGUGCGUUAGGUGCAGCCGGUGGUGGUGGUGGAAGAUGCACGAGCAAUUCAUUAAACCUGUUAUCGAGCUUUGUUUCAAACGUCUUCUCCAUGUCAUCUAUCUUCUCCAUGGCCUCUUCAAAUCUGUUUAGCACAUCUUGCACCUGUCCACUCAUCAUUUGCUGAAACUUAUCAUGAAGCUCCUUGUUCGUCAAGUUCUCCCAGUCAGUCUCGUCGGCUUGUGAUCCUGGCAUGGUUUGCAGCAAUAGAAACACACAAGAAUAUGAUCCUACAGACUACUAACAAGUGGUGGUGGUGGCGGGUGUCACAAAUCCGUAAAGCAAAUCUCAAAUUCUUACCAGUUCUUACCCAGCAGUAGGCGGUGAUCGGCAACCGUUGUAGUCAAAACUCUCAAAAGCUUGGAUAGAGCGAUUGCCAGGGAGAGUCAAACGCACGACGUAGAUGUAUAUGGAGCUGGGAAGGCUUAUAGUAUGGUAGCAAAAAGGGUCAACAAUAAUCAAUUCAGAGAUGCAAACUUGAAUAAACGCUCAACGACAGUACUGUGCUGGUCCUAGGCUAGACCGUGCUAGAGACGCGAGCCUAGAACACUAACAAAAUCACGGCGCUGCACGUAAAUAAGGGAAAAGCACACUCCGGAACUCUUUUUUUUGCUCUUCUUUUUUGCGCUCCUUUUUUUUGCGCUCCUUUUUUUGCGAAAAAUCACUAUAAUGGCGAGUGUCUCAAAACUCUUCCCUCGUCAAACUGAUAGGAUGGGCACGAAAUAUUUUUUUCACUUUUUUCGGAAAUCAGGGCAGCGACGACGAAAAAGUGCGACAAAAAAUCACUAUGAUGGCACUUUUGCUCAAAAGACUCAGAAAAGCCUAGAAAUAGGAUAGGGAAAAAAUAUUUUUGCCCGUGAAAAUUUUGGCCUAAAAACUGCCCGGGGGUCUCCAGACUCUCUUUUUUUUCCGAGACCUACGCUGGCAAGGAAACACGAAUCGGAAUUUAGAUUGAUCUCAAGAACAAACCUAAUAUGAGAAGAACUCGGAUUGGUGGUGGAUAUAUGGUUGUGGUAUAUGGCAGCGGUGGUGGUAUAUGGUAGCGGUGGUGGUAUAUGGAUAAGGAUUGGUGGUGGUAUAUGGAUACAGAUUCAGAGCGGUGGCGGAUAAGCAAUGGUGGUAGAUGGCAAGGCGAUGAUGAUGGUGCGGCGGCGGCAUGACAACUUAUGACCAGAACUCGAAACUCUAAAAGACUAGACUCUAAGACCAACAACUUGACACGACGAUGCAACCGCAAAUUCAACAAAGCAAAAACCCUAAAAAGAUUAUGCAAAGGCUCAGAUUGGUUCGGAUAUGAUGAACUAACCCUAAUUUUUUUUGUGGCUUUUUCGUGGACUGUAGGUAUGAAGAACAGACUCGGUCUAAUCUACGAAAAACUGUAAAAUCUCACUGAGCAACCUGGAAAUCUGAUACCACUUGAUAGAGGCAAAGGUGUCCCGAUGUUUCGAUGAGAUGGUGGCUAUCGUUUCUGGGGGAGUCAACCUUGACGAUCCGACUACGAACGUGCGAGAUGUCGCGCCUUAGCAAUCGCUAAACCAACUUCCGAGGGGUUAUUAACCACGCUGGAGCACGAUCAACCUGACCACGAGGGUCUGUUUCCUGCAAGCAAACGAAGAACAAGCAAGAAACUGAGAUUGCAAUCUGGAUAUUGCGAAUAUAAGAUGAAAGCUUUAUUGAUCAAGAUGGGGUUCUGUUCCGUCUUGGUCUGGUCGUUGGACACAAACGAAGUACGAGAAGUUGCAGCUAUGGCGAACUUUUAAUCUAAACAAAACCCAAAGCCUAAACGAUGCCCUAAGGGCUGUAUAUAUGGAGGAGAGAGGGGGAAUUUCGUGGCCCUUGGUGGAGGGGUCCGAAACCAACCCUAACUCUUGUUUCCCCACACAUACGGACUCUAAAAACAGCCUAUACUUAAGUACUUAGAAAAUACAUGGGCCUGGCCCAAUAAUAAGGUGACGCAGGACCUAGAAUAGCCUAUGGACGAAUAUUAUGAAGUGGCAUCUUGUAUAUUUCAUCCAAGGCUUCAUGCACUCCUUAUGGCGGCUUGAAAGUCCUGAAAUCAUCACUUGUAACUCCGUUCUUGAUCCCCUUGCGCAUGCCAUCAACUCCAUGCGUGUUCUUGCUCCAAUGUUCAUCCCUCUCCAAGCUAGGCCCUUCAUUUGUAAGCAAGACAAAUGUAUCCAAUUUAGGCAGCAUCAUAAUCUCAUGAACAUUAGAAUCAUUACCAAGAAACGAAAGUACCUGGUAAUUUAAUUGGCGUGCGCGAGCUCUAGUAAUUGGUCCAGUAUAUGUAACAAUAGGGGCUGUGGGUGUAACAACGGUAUUGAUGUCCUCAUCAGCUUCUUUGGCCUUUUUGUAUUUGGGAUUCUUUGGCCUCUUUUAUUUAUUUUUAAAGUCCGAGUCUCAUCCCGACUUGUGGGGGAAUCAUAGUCUCCAUCAUCCUUUCCUCAUUGGGGAAAUGCUCUAAUAAUGAUGAUCAUCACACUUUUAUUUACUUACAACUCAAUAUUACAACUCGAUAUCUAGAACAAAGAUAUGACUCUAUAUGAAUGCCUCCGGCGGUGUAUCGGGAUGUGCAAUGAUCUAGCAUAGGAAUGACAUAAAAAAUGGACAAGCCAUGAAAACAUCAUGCUAGCUAUCUUACGAUCAUGCAAAGCAAUAUGACAAUAAAUGCUCAAGUCAUGUAUAUGAUGAUGAUGAUGGAAGUUGCAUGGCAAUAUAUCUCGGAAUGGCUAUGGAAAUGCCAUGAUAGGUAGGUAUGGUGGCUGUUUUGAGGAAGGUAUAUGGUGGGUUUAUGGUACCGGCGAAAGUUGCGCGAUACUAGAGAGGCUAGCAAUGGUGGAAGGGUGAGAGUGCGUAUAAUCCAUGGACUCAACAUUAGUCAUAAAGAACUCACAUACUUAUUGCAAAAGUAUAUUAGCUAUCAAAACAAAGUACUACACGCAUGCUCCUAGGGGGAUAGAUUAGUAGGAAAAGACCAUCGCUCGUCCCCGACCUCCACUCAUAAGGAAGACAAUCAAUAAAUAAAUCAUGCUCCGACUUCAUCACAUAACGGUUCACCAUACGUGCAUGCUACGGGAAUCACAAACCUCAACACAAGUAUUUCUACUAAUCCACAACUACCCACUAGCAUGACUCUAAUAUCACUAUCUUUAUAUUGCAAAACUAUUGCAAGGAAUCAAACAUAUCAUAUUCAGCGAUCUACAAGUUUUAUGUAGGAUUUUAUGACUAACCAUGUGAAUGACCAGUUCCUGUCAACCCUCUAAAUAGAUAUAAGUGAAGAAAGAGAGUUUAAUUCUUUCUACAAAAUAUAUGCCCAUGCUCUAACAAAUAUAAGUGAAGCAAAAGAGCAUUCUACAAAUGGCGGUUUUCUAUGUAAAGAGAAACAGGCAAUCCAAACUUCAAAUGAUAUAAAUGAAGCACAUGAAGCAUUCUACAAGGCCAUACUCAAAAGAUAUAAGUGAAGUGCGUAGAGCAUUCUAUAAAUCAACCAAGGACUAUAUCAUAACAUCAUGGUGCAUAAAAUAAAAAUUAAAACUAAAUGCAAAAGACGCUCCAAGACUGCACAUAUCACAUGAAUGAAACGAAUCUGAAAACAUACCGAUACUUGUUGAAGCAAGAGGGGAUGCCUUCCGGGGCAUCCCCAAGCUUAGACGCUUGAGUAUCCUUGAAUAUUUACUUGGGGUGCCUCGGGCAUCCCCAAGCUUGAGAUCUUGCCUCUCUUCCUUCUUCUCACAUCGAGACCUUCUCGAUCAUCGAACACUUCAUCCACACAAAACUUCAACAGAAAACUUGGUAAGAUCCGUUAGUAUAAUAAAGCAAAUAACUACUAUAAGUACUGUUGCAAACCAAUUCAUUUUUUUUGAAUUAUAGCUACUGUAGAAUAACUUUUCCAUGGCUUAAUCCACUGAUUUAAAUCGAUAGUUUCAUCAAAACAAGCAAACUAUGCAUCAAAAACAGAAUCUGUCUAAAACAGAACAGUCUGUAAUAAUAUGAACAUUCACCAUACUUAUGAUACUUGGAAAAUUCUACAACAAUUAGUAAAAAUAAACAAUUUGUAGAGAAAGACAGUGCAAAAAGAAUCAGAACCAUUUGACAUUCCAGUAAAAAAUGUAAAAUCGCGCACUACAACCAAAGUUUCUGUCCUGCACCGCACAAACCAACAAGUAUUGUAAACAUCCUAAAGGCAAACCUUGGCACACUAUUUUUAUAAUACAAUGGAAUUGUAAAAGGGGAUAAUUAUUUUUAUUGAAAAGUUUCUGUAAUCAAGAUUCACAAAGUUUCCGUGAGCAUGAACAAAGUUCAAGGCUAGCUCCCACUUCAACAAUGCUUGUCUCUCUCACUUUCACUUUCCUUUUGGAAAAAGUUUUGGGUUCCCCUAUUUAUUUUUGUUGUUUUUAAACUAUAUAAAAGCACUCAACAGAAAUAAAUGAAUCUCUAAAACUUCCGGGUUGUCUCCCUGGCAGCGCUUUCUUUAAAGCCAUUAACCUAGGCAUAUAGUGCUCAAGUAGUGAAUCCACCCGGAUCCCAAGGUAUAUCAAAGCCAAUUUUAAUUAACGAUGAUUUGUAAUUUAGUAGUGAGCACAAAGUAACAUAUAUCAUGUAAUGACGAAGUCUAACUCUCUUCCUAUGCAUCGGCAUGUCAUAAAAGAACAAUUCAUGCACACAUAGUAAAGGCCAAUGCAUAGUAUAAACAGUUUCUUGCAAUUUUAUCAUAUUGGAAACAUAGAGAGGUGGAGAUAUAGUCCCUCUCUCAUAAUAAUUGCAAGUAGGAGCAGCAAGCACAUGCAUAUUAUAUCCAUCAAAAUCAUCGUGUGUAGUAGUAAAAGGCAACCCAUCAAUAUAAUCCUUAAUACGCGCAAACUUCUCCGAUAUAGUGUAGUUUGGAGAAUUCGAAAAGAUAAUAGGACUAUCAUGUGUGGGUGCGAUAGCAACAAUUUCAUGUUUAACAUAAGGAACUAUAGCAAGUUCAUCUCCAUAAGAAUAAUUCAUAUUGGAAUUUUGGCCACAAGCAUAGCAAGCAUCAUCAAAAAGGUAUAUUUCAAAAGAAUCAACGGGAUCAUAGCAAUUAUCAUAGCAUUCAUCCUUCAGUAAGCACGAAGGGAAAUUAAACAAUGUAUGAGUUGAAGAGUUACUCUCAUUAAAAGGUGGGCACGGGUGAUCAAUCCGCUCUUCCUCCUUUUGUUCUUCGCUCUCCUCCUCAUCUUUUUCAUCCAAUGAGCUCACAGUUUCAUCAAUUUCUUCUUCCAUAGAUUCCUGCAAAAUAUUAGUCUCUUCUGGGACAGUGGAGACUUUCUCAAUAAACGCAUCAAUAUCGGAAUUGUAUUCAUAAUUAUCAUAACAAUAUUUAAGGAUAGCUAAAUUUUCAGUUCGGUAGAUAGCAUCAUAAAGACUUUCAUAUUCUUUGAACAUAUAUUCAAUUUCAUAAGCACCCAUAAAAGCAACAAAUUCUUCUAUUUGUUCCACAUCAUAGUAGUCAUAUAUACCUCUAGCAUAAGAAGCCAAAGUUUCAUUAUCAUUAAAUUCACAUGAAAAGGGAAGGUGUGGAGCCUUCAUCCUAGAGCAACAAGUAUAAUCAUAUCUCAAGCAUAGUUGCCUAGCAUACCAAUACAACAUAUAUAUUUGAUCACAUAAUAGUUUCCCUUUUUGAGUCAAGCGAUAAUCCCUAAAGUAUUCACGUUGAUCCAACGUGUCUCCCAGUACCAAAUUGAAUGGGGUUUUAUCUGCAUUAUCAAAGUAGUACAUAAUAUCUGUCACAUAAAGAGCAUCGAGGGUUUUAGGAGGUUCCUCAUCUCCAUGAGCAGCAAGUACACCUAAUUUUUUUGGUAUUUCGUGUAACAUAUCCAUAACUAAAGAUAAAGAACAACUAAGAACAGCAAAUAAAAAUUACUUAGUGAUAAAAGCAAACAAGCACACACGAGAAUAUUCACCCCACGCUAUGGCUCCCCGGCAACGGCGCCAUAAAAAGGUCUUGAUAACCCACAAGUAUAGGGGAUCGCAACAGUUUUUGAUAAGUAAGAGUGUAGAACCCAACGAGGAGCUAAAGGCAGAACAAAUAUUCCCUCAAGUUCUAUCGACCACCGAUACAACUCUACGCACGCUUGAUGUUCACUUUACCUAGAACAAGUAUGAAACUAGAAGUACUUUGUAGGUGUUGUUGGAUAGGUUUGCAAGAUAAUAAAAAGCAUGUAAAUAAAAAGUAGGGUUUGUUUAGAUAAAUACACAACUAACUUAGUUUUAGUAAAGAGCUUUUUGUUACGAGAAAGUUAUUUGUCCCUAGGCAAUCGAUGACUAGACCGGUAAUCAUUGUUGCAAUUUUAUUUGAGGGAGAGGCAUAAGUUAACAUACUUUCUCUCCUUGGAUCAUAUGCACUUAUGAUUGGAACUCUAGCAAGCAUCCGCAACUACUAAAGAUCAUUGAGGUAAAACCCAACCAUAGCAUCAAAGUAUCAAGUCCUCUUUAUCCCAUACGCAACAACCCCCUUACUCGAGUUUGUGUUUCAGUCACUCACGCAACCCACUAUAAGCGAAUCAUGAACUAUUACAACACCCUACAGCGGGGAUCCCUCACGCUUGCGCGACACGAAGAGCACCAUAGGACAGCACCAGUAAUAAAACAUGCAACUCAAACCAAUCACGAUCAUCAAAUAACCCAUAGGACAAAACAGAUCUACUCAAACAUCAUAGGAUAGCCAUACAUCAUUGGGAAAUAAUAUAUAGCGUUGAGCACCAUGUUUAAGUAGAGAUUACGGCGGGCAAAAGUGGGGUUACACCGCUACAUAGAGGGGGGAAGAGUUGGUGAUGAUGGCGGUGAUGUUGUUGGUGAAGAUUGCGGUGAUGAUGAUGGCCCCCGGUGGCACUCCAGUGCCACCGGAAGCGAGGGGGAGAGAGCCCCCCUCCUUCUUCUUCUUCCUUGACCUCCUCCCUAGAUGGGAGAAGGGUUUCCCCUUUUGUCCUUGGUCUCCAUGGCGUGGGAGGGGCGAGAGCCCCUCCGAGAUUGGAUCUGUCUCUCUGUCUCUCUUUGUUUCUACGUUCUCAGAUUCUACCCUUUCACCGUUUUUUAUAUUCCCGGAGAUCCAUAACUCCGAUGGGUCUGAAAUUUUAACACAAUCUCUAUCCGGAUAUUAGCUUUCUUGCAGCGAAAGAAGGGCAUCAACCGCCUUACGGGGUGGCCACGAGGGUCAGGGGCGCGCCCCCUGCCUCGUGCCUCCCUCGGGCACCGUCUCGCAUGGAUUUUUCUUCCCAAAAAUCACAUAUAUUCCAAAAAGAAUCUCUGUCAGUUUUUAUCCCGUUUGGACUCCGUUUGAUAUGGAUAUUCUGCAAAACAAAAAACAUGCAACAAACAGGAACUGGCACUGGGCAGUGGAUCAAUAUGUUAGUCCCAAAAAUAGUAUAAAAAGUUGCCAAAAGUAUAUGAAAGUUGUAGAAUAUUGGCAUGGAAUAAUAAAAAAUUAUAGAUACGACGGAGACAUAUCAGUGGCUCACAACUCGUAGUGUACUGCGAGCCACCCGCCACCCCCAGACGCACGCACCCACACACACACACCGCGAAUCCACCGCAACUACGAUGCAUGUUAAAUUAAUUAUCCCGCGGUGAACAUACAUGUUACCAAAGGAGGGACGUUUUAAUUUCAAAAAAAUCACAGAGAUCAUUAAGACAUUUUAGUACAUUGAUUGAUUUAUUUUCUAUGGGUAUAAUGUGCAAAAAUCAAAUUUGAGCUACAAGCACACGUGACAGUGCACCUAAAUGGAUUGCAAAAACACGUGUCUCACUUGGUGUAUGUUUACUCCCCGUGCAACAAAUUUCAAACAUUGAGAAUCUUGAUUUUUAAAUUCUAGUACAUCCAAAACUUAUUUGAAGUUCAUGAAACUUAUCGUGUUGUCAUAUGGACACCAAUACAAAGUGGCAUUCUACUUUUUUUGUCAAGUUUCAGACCAGUUUUGAUGUAAUCUUUAUCAAAUUACAGACGGGAGAUUAUUAAUAAUUGGGAACCAAUAUCCCAAACGGAUUAUUUAUUUGAACCGUGAGCGUUAGACAAACAAUGGAUAUGUGCCAUGCUUCGGUUAAGCAAUAAAGCGGCAGCAUUAAUCAUCCAAAUAGAAAAACAAUAUACUUGUCGCCGCGGGACCCGUGUGGCGUGCGACCAGGCGUGAGUUGACAGGACGCAUGCGAGAAGUUCGCCGCGCACGCAGACGGGGAGGCGUGCGUGCACGUGUGUGAAUUGAUGGAAACGUGCUCGCUGCGCAGUGUCAUCGGGAGGUGUGCGAGUAGCUGUGUGAAACUUUGGUAGGCAUGCCAGCAGUCCGGUGCGCAGGCUCACCGGGAGGCGAGCCAUCGGUUUGACCACAGUCCGCCUCUCUCCCACAACUCCAAUUACUCCAUAUUAAUGGUGCGCCCAAGUGUCCGCACCCCCCAUCCUCGCUACGCACACACAAUCCUCUCUCUCCGCUUGCAUCCUCGACGCCGCUCUCAGUCCUCAAAGCCAUCAGUGUAUGAGGAUGCCGCCGAAGUGCCCCAUCGGAGGGAGUGGCGACGCCGGGGCUGCUAAAGCACCAGAGCACGGCGUGGAGAUGGAGACAGAGGUUGCCGUCACCGCCGGCGAGUCAUCGCUGCGCCCUAAUGUCGUCGAUGGCGUCGAGCUUUCAUAGCCGGAGGCGGAGUUCCACAUUGACUCGGAGGACCACUCUGGCGACGACUCCGACGACCACUCCGGUGACGACUCUGACGACCACUCCGGCGACGACUCCGACAACGACGGACAGCCGGUUAGUCAUCUAUACCCAUUUAUAUGUCAAAUAGAUCAUAGGGUUUCUCUGGUUACUCCUGCCUCCCCAUUUUUGGAAUAGAAAUCAUGUGGUUAUAUUCUCCCAAUCCAUGAAAUCUGAGUAAGUUUCUUUAGAUCCGUGUAGUGUAUUGAUUGUUUGAAUCGUACACAUAAUAAGUGAUUAGUUGUUUCAUCUGUGCAAAUGAUUUCUGCUAGUAAUCCGAAUAGGGUUAGUGUUCAUGCUAAUAAUUCCUAGCCAGGAAUUGACAAUUGAUUUUGAAUGACCUACCUAUGUUUGUGCCAUUAUUUUCUUCAAGAUUGGUUUGUACAUAGACGAAUGUGCUUAAAAAUAAAACCAUAAUCUCUGGAUAUGUAUUAACAAAUAGCCCUAAAUUCCUAAUCCUACUUCACGGCAUGUAAUCAGUGAUUUGAUGCCAAAUUUGUUUUACUAUUUGUAUAGGUGUUGUCUAACGAUGUGGACAGCGAGGAUGAAGAUGCCCAGAGGAGGUACAAGAGGCGAAUCCUGAGGGAGCUUUAUGCGGGAAUGCAUAACAGGCGUAUUAGGACCUGGAACGAUGGCUAUGGAUGCCCAUUUUGCCACCACAAGAUUCAUGACGCGUAUCUAAGUGUUCUGGCGCAUGCAAGAGGACGGGUCGUUGACUCCUUCAAGCAGAAGUAUUCUCGCAGGGUGGCGCACAGCGCGUACGCCGAGUACCUGGAGAAACUUCAGGAUCAUGUCGGCCUCAUGUGAGAUGAGAUGUGGGAUGGAUCGAACUAUGUACGCUUGAGUAUGCUUAAUGACGGUUGAACUAUGUACUUAUGGUUGAACUAUGCUUAUGUACGUGUACGCUUAUUAUCUAUGUCUGAGUAUGUUAAAUAUUUUGCCAAAUUUUGGUAAAAAUUACAACGGGGGACCAAUAAACCAAGACGGAGGUAGUACGUCAAUCACAUACGGUUCCAAAAAUUGGAACCGUGUUCAAUGACUUUCAUUUUGCCUGCUACAUCAAUCACACACAGUUCGCUCUAGCAAACCGUCGCCCCAAAAUUCUUUGCGGGACAGAAAACCAUAACCACCCAAUUCAAAAAAGAAAAAGAAAACCCUCAUCAUCCCCACGUCACAAAAACCCUCACCCCGCCCGCCACCUCCUCGGCCCCUCCGGUACAUUCCCCAUUCACACCUGCACAAGCUCCUCCGCGUCUAUGCCAUGGCACCGCCUAUCGCGGAGGUAAACACUUAGCUCGACACAUGUCGCCGCCGCCAGGCUGCUAGCAAAGUCCACCGCAUUUCGCCACUUCCGCUUGGCGCCGCCUAUCGCCAUCGACUUUCUCGACGUUGCUCGCGGUCAACCCAGCUCCGCUCGGUUGGGGAAUCUGCCUACCGAGGGUUCUUUCUCAUGGACGACAAGGUAACUAAUUUAACGAGAUAUUAUACCAUCUCUUAUCCCAGUUCAUCUGCCUCCUUUGAUCACCCGACGGAAAUUGCCGUGAAUUCAUUUUUGUUCGAGCUGAUUUGAGGGUUUUCUUCCAUUCAUAGAAUGUACAGUGCGCUGACACUUCAGGACUUGGCGACCGCCGCCAGAGAUUCCAUCUCAUCGUACUAGAUAACUUGAGGACGCACGCGGUAUGUUCAAUCUCACCCUAAAUCAGUUGGCAUGGCCUACUUUCCUGAACAUAUUCUAAAUAUUGCUACAUUUGGAUAAAAGGUGCCACAUGCACCAUAUACAUCAAAGGGGAUUUUUCCCCUCUUCUUUCUAUAUUAGGCAAAUUAAUGAUGUAUUGUUCAUUUGAUUACUCUCAUAUUUCCAUGACAUCAUGUUUACCCUAUCUGUUUAAUUAUAGACUUGUGUCUUUCGAUUUCAACUGCUAUACAGUUCUUUCAAUUUGGGCCCAUAUUUGCAUGUUACCAUAUUUUCUUUAACAAUCCUACCAUUUUCUGCAGGACAUCCCUCGCUAUGCAAUAGACUAUGUAGUGCAUAAUUUUCCCUUUACUUACAUCAAGGCUCCACAAAUGUCAUAGUGCACACAAACCAUGGAUUUACAAUAGUUGAUACUGUAAGACUUGAUGAACGUGGUGACUCCUAUUUUGGCACUGGCUUUUGGAAUGAAAUUGCAAAGUUUUAUGUACUGAAAGCUCGCACUAAAAUUGCACUGCACAUAGAAGGGCCUGAUCAUGAGAUAUAUGCUAACUUCCCCGACAAAAUCAUCCGUCCAGACUUUGUUCGAAGUAAGUUUUCUUUUCAACUAUCUACAUAUGUUGACUUACCCAGCAAUGUCAAAUGAAUUGUGUAGUAUUUAAGCGGCCAAUUGUUAUUCCCUUUUCUUACUAUAUCCCUACCUAAUAACUUCUAGUUACCAAUACACUUUUCUAUUGCCCUGUUUUAACUAAAUAUUCCCUGUACUCCCAUUUCCAUCAGAAAGCGCCGCUGACAAGGAGACUCUGGAGGUGGAGAACGGGGCUGCCAACAAGCGAAGGCGGGGCGAGCUAGAACCGCAAGUGACUCCAGCAGGCCUAGACUUAAUCAGCAGCCUCCCCGAUGAUAUGUUGAGAGUCAUCAUCUCCCUCCUCCCAAUCAAAUAUGGGGUGCGGACAACCCUCUUUUCCCGGCGGUGGCGCCCCUAUGGAACUCCAGCCCUCUCGACCUCAUCGACACCCACGAGCUCUUCCAUGGCUAUCGCAAAAGCUUGGAUGCAUUCUCCAAGAUGCUUGGCAGUCACCUUGGCCCAACCAAAGGCCUUAGAAUGGGCAAGUUCCGUUCCAACGGCAAGGACCGAGCCAAGCUUGACGACUGGUUUCGAUCCCCCGCCCUAGAUCAGAUCGAGGAGCUCACUUUUGAUGAUGGGAAAAUGCGGUCGCCGCCAACAUCCGCACUCUGCCUCGCGCCCAUGCAUCCGCGUCGCCAAGUUCAGGAACUAUCAUUUCCCACCCCUUAAUGACGUGCCCGCUCUUAUUCUACCAUGACUGAAGCACCUCGAGCUCGUCGUCGUCUGCCUCUCAAAAGGUGACAUGGAGCGCCUGCUCCAUGGCUGUACUGCACUCGAGUACCUUCGUCUUCAGGCGAUCAAUGGGUUGAGUAUCUUCCACAUCACCUCCAUGACUUUCCGGACUAUUUAUGUGUGUUGCUGGUGCGCCAGGAAGACAUCACAAAAGGUGGACCACGGUAUGGUCAUCCAGGACACACCUGCACUUGAGAGAUUACUUGUAAUUGAUCAAGAAGGUCCAACAAGAAUCAAUUUCAUUUCUGCACCGAAAUUGACAGUGGUGGGCUACUCGUCUAACAAAUACUCCGAACUUGUUAUUGGAUCCACACCCGUUCAGGUACAACAGCCACCUUCUACCUCUCCUUCUACAAAUUAACAUUAUUUCUAAUUUUGAAGAUGUUUGUUCGUCUAUCAUUCAGAAAAUGAUUCCGACAAGCUUGACCCCGAAACUGCGCACAGUGAAGGUCUUGGCACUAGAAUCUAUCGGGCCCGACCUGGAGCAAGUUGUCAGUUUCCUGAGGUGCUUUACGUGCCUGGAGAAGCUAUAUAUCGAGGUGAUGUUCCUUUCCUGUUAAAUGUUAACCAUAAGGGAGUUCAAUUUGUGAAACCUUUUUCCAAGUUUACAAUGACAAUGUACUACAAUUUCUGAAGGUUCUUUUGGAGGAUUUCAGUACAUACAUNNNNNNNNNNNNNNNNNNNNNNNNNNNNNNNNNNNNNNNNNNNNNNNNNNNNNNNNNNNNNNNNNNNNNNNNNNNNNNNNNNNNNNNNNNNNNNNNNNNNNNNNNNNNNNNNNNNNNNNNNNNNNNNNNNNNNNNNNNNNNNNNNNNNNNNNNNNNNNNNNNNNNNNNNNNNNNNNNNNNNNNNNNNNNNNNNNNNNNNNNNNNNNNNNNNNNNNNNNNNNNNNNNNNNNNNNNNNNNNNNNNNNNNNNNNNNNNNNNNNNNNNNNNNNNNNNNNNNNNNNNNNNNNUGGUUACAUUCAAUAAGCAUUUCUCCUUUGGACUCAUCUAUACUAGUUUUCUUAGGGAACUUUUCAUCCACUCCAACCUCUUGUGAAGAAGGCUACAUUUUUCUAGAAUGUAAUCAAAUGCCCAUGUUAAUUAUGUCAGAUGAAGAUGGCAUGUUAGUGCAUUUUACGAAUCCUGCAAACCAAAUAGCUAGGCAUGUAGUAAUGUUCAAAACUGCAUGUAGGCACUAACAUGUUUUCUUCUUUUGUAGAUAAGAUUAGGACCAAUGGUGGAUAAUGUGAUACAAUAUAACAAUCACGUCGAAUGCCUAGAUCUACAUCUCUCGGAAAUUACUGUGAACUCCUACGAGGGACCUUACCGGAGAUUAUAUUUGCUAGGUUCUUUGUUCUUAGAGCAAGGGUGCUGAAGGAAAAGAGGUUUGCCCUACAUUUGUUUCGCAAAAAUGAAUGGUCUGUUGAUCAGCGCCGGCGCCUGCGGCAGAAUGGAGUAGGCUCCAAAAAGGCUGAAUUUCAUUUUGAAACUUCAGAUGACAGAGUAAUCGAAAGUCAUCGGGUCAACCCCAUACAUGACUUCUCAGUGGCUGACCCCUUUGCAAAAAUUGUGAGGUUUCGAAGCCAGACUUAGAAGCGGUGAUAAUAGUUUGAAUCUCUCUGAUAUCCAUGCUCAACGCAUCAGCGCGAGCGUUUGCAGCUGAUGAGCUCAAUUUCAUUUCUAAUAUCAGUUUGAACCUUGUAAUCUUCGAAUUUGAGCCAUAUAACUCUGGAAUUUGAACCUUGUAACAUUUCGAGCUUUUGUGGUACAAUCGUUGAAAUGGCAUCGUAUGAGACUCGUAUAUUGCUAGUGCUAUUUUGACCUUAAUAUGCAAUGGUCUUAGAUUUUAUUAACCAUUCUCGAAUCAGUUUACCUUGUCGAUCUCACAGCACACGAUCUGUAUAGCUAACUCGACUGCGAUCUUCGACAAUAUUGCACACAGUUGGUUUCUUCCACCGUGUGCACUUUAGAGCGCAGAAUUAGUUAUCGCACUCGACUGUCCAUCAUCACCCUUCUGUGUAACUUUGACCUCAUUACCCAAGGGUAAACUUAUGACCGAAGUCGUUCCAUACACUUUGUUUUUACAAAGCUUUUUGCCAGUAAACGCCCAUGAUUUGUCCCUCUUCUAGCCGACGAGUGGCCAAACUAGCCGAGAGGGAAGCUUGCGUGGUAAACAGCGCAGUAGCGCGUGAACAGGCUCUUCGAGCCCAUGCGCUGGGGUGCGGUGUUGUCAAGCCUGCACUAGAUUCUGGAAUCCUCCGCUAUGAAUGUCGUGACAAGACAUGACGAUUACAGGCCGGCCGACCCCCAUUUAUUACAGCGGCCAUUUUAACCUACUCUUGUGUCUCUUCAACCUUUCGAUCGUGGCCCACCAUUGCAACAAGCACACCCACCAUGAGAAAUUCUUAGAGGGUAUCCUGCGGGGCUCCAAUGGCGCUCCGAGCGACUGCCGAUGACAAGCAGCAGUUCACCAUGCGUGCCGUGGUGGACACCCAUAGAAGGUUCAUGGACCUCUCGGUGGUGUACACCAACGACCCGGUCUGGGUGGAGCACUCCAUCCACAUCAUGGAGCUGUUGCUUGCCGAGGAGAAGUACAAGGUGGUCGGGUUCGACCUCGAGUACACCCGCGCUCGUGCCGGGUCUCGUCCCAAGGUCGUUGUUGCCCAGAUGUGCAUGCGCCACCACGUCCUUGUCUACCACUACUGCGUGGCCAUAAAGCCUUGCGAGCAUUUCUCCAGGUUUGUCAACAGCCCCCACUACAUGUUCGCUACGGUGGACAUCACCAACAAUGUAAAGGCGCUCGAGAAUUUGGGCAUCGCCUGCCAGAAUCUUGUCGACAUCCAGGGCCAAUACAAGAUCCGAGGAAGCAAGGAGCAUGAGAAGGACUCACUGGUUCACCUCGCCGAGGCCAUCAUCGACCCCUACUACAGAGACAUGAAGGAUUCGUGCAACAAGGACAAGCGUGCCUGGCACUCGGCCUGGAUGGAGAAACUCGACAAAGCUCAUGUCGUGUACGCGGCCAAGGAGGCGUACACGAGCUACGACAUGUACAGGUGGAUCAUUGACAUGAGGAAGUCCCUCCUUCCCCAAAACGGCCAGGGAUCUAGCUGGAAGCAGAGCAAUGGCAAGCGUCUUCGCAACAAUAAGUAGAUGAUUAGAUCCUCGUUUCUCCUACUUUAGUAUGCAUGUAAUUGCUUUCUUUGAUGUGUGGAAAUGUUGUGUCUAGUUCCUUGUGUAAUUAUAUGCUUAAUUUGGUUAUGCAAUGCUGUCUUUUUAAGUAUAUAUGUUGAUGUUAUAGAUCGAGCGUAGAUGUUGUGCGGACAAAGAAAAUCACAUCGCACACGGACUAAACAAUGAAACCCGUCGGUGAUGUUUUCAUCAAUCACUCACAAUUGUAUACCAGCAAUCGUUUUCUCACAACACACACAGCUUGUUAGCAGUAAUCGUUUGUGUUGUUAUCGGUGUUCGCACACGUAUCCGAUUACAGGCCUGUUUGCCUCGUAUCACACACAUCUUGUUCAUUUGAACCGUUUCUGUUCUCAUGUCUCAACGCAAACAGUUCAUCCGAGUGAACUGCAUGUCGUAUAUCGCACACACCUUUGAUCUGGCUGACCGUUUCUUUUGUGUUACCUAAUCACAAACAGUUCAUCCGAGUGAACCGUAUGCUGUCUAUUGCACACGCCUUCAUCUGGCUGCCCGUUUCUUUUGUUCCUCCUCAUCGCAAAUAGUUCAAUGAACUGAGGCGUAUGCCCUUCAUCGCACAUGCAAAUUAAACUUGAACCGUGUUUGAUGCAUCCGUCAUCGCAAACGUUUUAUACAUUUCUGACGGUUUUCAUACAGCACCGUUUGCGAUUAUUACAUCGCACACAGUUUCUCGAAGGGUCUCUGAUUGUAGUGUCGCAUUAGCAGCAUCCUACAGUAGUGAUAUGAAGGAUUGGAAUAUCACCAAAAAACUAGCCAUGGUCGCGAGAUCUUUUGUUUCACCUCUAGCCUACCCCAACUUGUUUGGGACUAAAGGCUUUCUUCUUCUUGUUACAAUGACGCGGCAGGUAACAUUUUCUCCAACUUCAUCCCUACAUGUUCGUUUAAUGCAGCGUGCCCUUUUUAAAGUCGAAUUUUUUAUAAUAUGCGGUGUGCAUGGGCAUCUCCAACGGUCACCCAACAUGGUACCACAUUGGUCUGUGGACCAGUCCGGACGUCCCUUUCUUGCAAACCGGAAGCAAACACGGGGGAGGAGGGCUCUGCGGGAGUCCGGCCCACCACCACCUAGGACUCUGACACCCUCGGCCCACUCAAAUCCCCCUUCCGGUCCACUUCGCCCAUGCUCACCCCCUGCUUUGCAUCUGCACCCUCCUCGUCCAACGUCGUAGCUUUACCUUUUCGGCCACCGCCCAGGCAUCAUAGGACGUCUGUAGCCCCCACCAAUGCGCCUGCCCUCCUUGGACUACACCGUCGUCCACCCGGGAUCCCUUCGCUCAGUUACCCUCCGCCGCCCUGUCGACGACGUCCAUGGAGGACAUCACGCCCGACAAGUAUUCGGUCAAAUGCCAUCGAGCUUUUAGUUGAACUUCUUGUUGUUUUCUAGACUAAGCACGAUGGCUAGCUACUUGAUGAAGGAGGAUGAGUUGUUGUGAAAUGUAUGGUUAACCAUAUCUGCGAACUUUGUAGGCAGGACUCAAGGGGCUCGAUCUUUUGGCAGCGCGUGGAUGGUUCAUUUCAUGCAUGAAAGCACUACGCCCUACGACAUGCACAUCAUCCAUGAUCGUAAGUUUUGCUUUCUGAUGCUCUACAUGUUGGUUACUUCAUUCAUUCACUCAAUGUUGCUCUACACGUUGGUUACUUCAUUCAUUCACUUAAUGUUACUCUACACAUUGUAUAUCCUACACGCUCUGCCGUGAUGUACUACAGGACCAAGGGCAGGCCCCAUUCACGCACAUACAUUGUUGGAUAAAGCUCAAGAGGCAGCCUGUGUGGGACGACGUGUGCCAGCUGUGAUUCUAGUAUCGCUGAAUGUGGAAUCGGUUAAUUCAAAAAACUUGUUGAACAUCCGGUCAUCUCAGAUGUAAUAUUUACAUUUGAACUAUUGUUGUACUAGAAAUAUUUGCAUGAUAUUUAUGGAUGAAUUGUGCUAUUUUUUAUAAUUACUUUGAGUGUUGUAAAAUUAGAAAAAAAAAAGGAGAAACAACAUGAAGUUUUUUUGUUAAGCAGACAAAACAUAGUCCAUUUUAUGUAAAUUAUGUCCGGACUUUGCUAAACUCAGUCAGGUUUCAUGAAAUUCGUCCGGUUUCUUUAAAAUUAUUUUGAAACGGUUUCUUUAAACUUGUCUUGAAAUGGAUGCAGAUAAGCGUUUGAGACGCCCUAAAUGUUUGCCUGGACAGCGUUGGAGAUGCCUUGAAUGUUUAGCAAAAAAGAGUCCGGUGCCAGUGGCACCGGUGGUGCGAUGGCAGAAACAGCUUGGACUAGACGCAGGCACCCAACUACUCCCUCCGUCCGAGAAUACUUGUCAUAGAAAUGGAUACAAAUGGAUGUAUCUAGAACUAAAAUACAUCUAGAUACAUCCAUUCCUCGGACAAGUAUUUCCGGACGGAGGGAGUACAUGGCAGCACAGCACAUCACAGACAGCACCAAUCCCUACAACCGCUUCCCGAACGCAACCAAGCACAAAAGAGAAAAGUGGGAAAGCAGCUGAAACCCCAUCUGACCCACUGCAACGCAGCUGCGCCACAACGUCACUCACUGACACCCCGCGGACCCACGCCACGCCAUGCGCGCAGCGAGCGGAGAAUGGGAGUAGGAGUGGACGAAACGUGAGAAGACAUCCCAUGUGCACUCGCAGGGCCCACACUGCAGGCGUCACCCCUCCCGCCUCUUUUCCAGCUGGGAGGAAUGCCGCCCUGUCCCGCCAACCGCCACGCCCACUUCUACCAGUGCGUCGACCCCAACAAAUCUUUUCGUUGCAAAAUACUACCAAUACAACUCAUCACAACUACUAGUGGCACUAAAAAGAGAAGCUCUUCGGUUUAAAAAAAACAACGAUUCAUUCUGCAACGGGUUUUAAUAAGACAUCGGUUCUUCACUCCUUUCAUGGCAAAAAAGAAAAGAAAAAUUGAAACUGGAAGGACGAUAGGAAGUUCGGAACACACACACAACACGAACUCUCUCCUACGGCUGAUUGAUGAUUUUCUUCUAAAACUUCACAAAGCAGCUAGUAGAAGACUAAAAAUUACUACUCUACUAUUGACGGAUUUUAAAACAAGAACACCCCCACCAAAAAUCACCAGAAGUGAUCCCAAAAAACGGACAGUCUGAUCUCCCACGGAAAAAAAAAAACAAGAGACCUGAACCACCACCAUCGACUCCCUCGAUCUCGCCACCACCGCUGUACANNN